rnacentral:rRNA from 1 species
CCCUUAGAUGUUCUGGGCCGCACGCGCGCUACACUGAUUCAUGCAUCAAGUAUACAACCUUGGUCGAAAGGCUUGGGUAAUCUUUGAAACUGAAUCGUGCUGGGGAUUGGAGCUUGUAAUUAUUCUCCAUGAACGAGGAAUUCCUAGUAAACGCGAGUCAUCAGCUCGCAUUGAUUACGUCCCUGCCCUUUGUACACACCGCCCGUCGCUACUACCGAUUGAAUGAUUUAGUGAGGACUUCGGACUGGGACCGAUGCGGCUUUCGGGCUGCGUCGGUAUUCUGGAAAGAUGUCCAAACUGUAUCAUUUAGAGGAAGUAAAAGUCGUAACA